CCAAGGAGUUUAGCGUGUGCGCGAGUCAUUGGGUGUUAAAACCCAAAGGCAAAAUGAAAGUGAAGGAAACUCCUGUUUCUGAGGGUGGAUGGGUUGACCCCUUUAAAGGGUCACCUCGCACUCCCGGGGCGUCUCUAUCUCAAUGUGAGAGGAGGCGCACCCAGAGCGUACACGCUGAUACCCGAAAGAUGGUGAACUAUGCCUGGCCAGGACGAAGCCAGGGGAAACCCUGGUGGAGGUCCGCAGCGAUUCUGACGUGCAAAUCGAUCGUCGGAGCUGGGUUUAGGGGCGAAAGACCAAUCGAACCAUCUAGUAGCUGGUUCCCUCUGAAGUUUCCCUCAGGAUAGCUUGCGCUCGGAGGAGACGAGUCUCAUCCGGUAGAGCGAAUGAUUAGAGGCCUUGGGGUCGAAACGACCUCAACCUAUUCUCAAACUCCAAAUAGAUGAGAACCCCGGCUUUCUUGAACUCCUUGUUAUGAAGCCGGGGGCUUGGAUCAGAGUGCCAAGUGGGCCAAUUUU
rnacentral:rRNA from 4 species